UGCCAAUUUAGCUCAGUCGGUAGAGCAUCUCCCUCGUAAAGAGAAGGUCGUUGGUUCGAUUCCAAUAAUUGGCAUC
rnacentral:tRNA from 1 species